AUAAGUAAUAGCUGUAGUAAUGAUAAACUAAGCCAUCUUCCUUUAGUAACGACACAAUAAUUCAUCAGAUCCAUGCCGUCCUGAAAAUCCUCUGCUUCAUAAGAUUCUUGAUUGAGGUGACGACAUACAUGCACCAAUCCUGCUCUCACCAAACAUAUAAUGAAGACAACGACUUGUGUGCAGAUCCGAUUCUUCAUAUAAUCUAUGGAAUUGUGAUCUUUGUUGUAGUGACGAGCAUCAUUCAACUAGUAUUGAGCAUUAUUCUCAUCUGUGGCAUUUUGAAG